UACAGAGGGUGCGAGCGUUAAUCGGAGUUACUGGGCGUAAAGGGCGCGUAGGCGGUUUGUUAAGUGAUAUGUGAAAUCCCUGGGCUUAACCUAGGAACUGCAUGUCAUACUGAUGAGCUAGAGUAUUGUAGAGGGUAGUGGAAUUUCCGGUGUAGCGGUGAAAUGCGUAGAGAUCGGAAGGAACACCAGUGGCGAAGGCGGCUACCUGGACAAAUACUGACGCUGAGGCGCGAAAGCGUGGGAGCAAACAGG
rnacentral:rRNA from 1 species